rnacentral:rRNA from 1 species
UAGUCAAUUACAUCUUCUUACAUUUAACAUACUUCAGGAAAAGCUUCUGCAAAGCCAGUAUAUCUUACAACGCAAGAAAUCUCACAAACCGCAAGGAAUAUCUUAUACUAAACAAAAGACAGCAUAAAUCGCCCUACCUUUUGCAUCAUGUAGUUGCAACACCAUCUAACUUACCAGUUACUUCCCGAAAAGUGAAGAGCUACUACUAGCACAUGAUUAAUGUGACAUUAUUAAUAUUAACAGCUAGUAGUAGAGGCAAAACACCUUACGAAUCACCUGAUAGCUGGUUGUUCCUAAAAAGCAUUUUAGUGCUAGUCAAUAGAUUAUAAACACAACUCUUUAUCUAUUGAACCAAUAUCAGUAAGGAUCAGCUUGCUGAUUAAUUGUGUAAUACACAAAACAAAUUCUCUGUCAAUAGGCUCAAAAACAGCCAAUUAACUCCGUUAUAGGAAACAACACCCUAAAUAUUACUAUUAACCUUCAAUAUUCCAAAUACACAAGGAACCUUAUCGAAAAACAAAUCUCAGUAAUGAACCGGCAACUAUUAGUAUUUUCUCACGAAUUAAAACAAUAACCAAUGCACUAAAUAUUUUCUUUACUUAAACCGUAACAUACAAUCAUUAACAAUGAACUCGGCAAAGACUUUCUUCGCCUGUUUACCAAAAACAUCGUUCCAUGACCCACUUACAUAAGGAAUACCGCCUGCCCAAUGAUACUAUAAUUAAAUGGCCGCGUUAGCGUGAGCGUGCUAAGGUAGCGUAAUAAACAGCUCUUUAAUUGGGAGCCAGUCAAUGGCAAAACGAAGAAAACCUAUAUUAUUAAUGCCAACUAAAACUUUUCCUUUGAGUGAAAAGGCUCAAAUACAAGAGAUAGACAAAAAGACCCCGCGGAACUUUCCCACACAUCCACAGCACACAACCAUUGCUAACCAUUAAGGGUUGGUUGGGGCAACCACGGAGCAAACAAAACCUCCACAUACCUUAUAAAAUCCAUACUAAAUUUGCUAAAGACCAUAAUGAAGUUACCCCGGGGAUAACAGCGUAAUCUAACUUGAGAGUACACAUCAAAAGUUAGGUUUGCGACCUCGAUGUUGGCUUAGGGAAAGCAACUUGGCGCAGCCACUAAGUACAUUGCCAGUCUGUUCGACUGCAAACCCCCUACAUGAGCUGAGUUAAGACCGGCGAGAGCUAGGUUGGAUUCUAUCUUCUCUUCAUUCCAUAACUCUUUAUUGUACGAAAGGACCUAAAGAGACACACCUCUAACUUAAGUGCCCUACUUUAACCUUAAUAACUUUUACGUCAAACACUUUUACUUCUUC